GAUGAACGCUGGCGGCGUGCCUAAUACAUGCAAGUCGAGCGGACCAAAGAGAGCUUGCUCUCUGAGGUUAGCGGCGGACGGGUGAGUAACACGUGGGUAACCUGCCUGUAAGACGGGGAUAACUUCGGGAAACCGAAGCUAAUACCGGAUGAUAAAGAGAAACGCCUGUUUCUUUUUUGAAAGUCGGCCUUGUGCUGACGCUUACAGAUGGGCCCGCGGCGCAUUAGCUAGUUGGUGAGGUAACGGCUCACCAAGGCGACGAUGCGUAGCCGACCUGGGAUGGUGAUCGGCCACACUGGGACUGAGACGCGGCCCAGACUCCUACGGGAGGCAGCAGUAGGGAAUCUUCGGCAAUGGACGAAAGUCUGACCGAGCAACGCCGCGUGAGCGAUGAAGGCAUUCGGGUCGUAAAGCUCUGUUGUCAGAGAAGAACAAGUACCGGAGUAACUGCCGGUACCUUGACGGUACCUGACCAGAAAGCCACGGCUAACUACGUGCCAGCCGCCGCGGUAA
rnacentral:rRNA from 1 species